CGCGAACCGUGUCCGAACCGCACGGCGGCGUCCUGGGGCGCCCACUGUGGGGACGGAGCUUCCUCUCCUCAGCACCCACCCAGGAGCGGCCGGGGCUUGGGACACCUGGGGACACCUGGGGACACGUCCGCUGUGAGGACAGGGAGACGCUCCGGGACACCUGGGGCCGCCGAGGCAAAGGUUUUGACUGGAAUGCCAGGCUUAACGUUGCUCAGAAGUUGCUUCUAUGAGGACGUCUCCCAGCAGCUGUCAGUGUUUCCAAUGAGUCAUUGCCGGCCCCUGCAAUGAGCCUCUCAGGCUGGUAAGUUUUGUUUCAGAACCACUUCCUGAAGCUUCUUUUGCCUUUAAAAGCUUCCUCUUGCCCCAGCCUCCCAGGGAAUGCCUGUGGUCUGUCAUGGCUCACACAUCCUGGUUGAUAAUCCACUGCUGUUCUCCAGGGAAUGCCUUCAUUUUGAGAGCUGCUCGCUGCCUGUUGUGGUUUCAGUUAACGGCCCACCGCUGUGUGCAGAGUUCACCAGCCGCUGUGGUGUGCAGUGUGGCAGCUGACCUGCCUGCCUUGUGGUUUUCUAAUCCCAUGGAGGGGACGUCUUAGGUGUUCUCACCAAGAAUGCACAGCAAAUGUGCUGGGUGGGCCACAUCCUCCCUCAUGUUUGGUGCCACCAGUUUUAUAGAUUUUGGCUACCGUGGGUGUGUGUGGUGGUUUUCGUUGGUGUUUACGAUGCAGCUUCCUUGUGCUCGAGUCUGUCGAGCACUUUUUCUUGUGUUUAUUUGCCAUCAUUUGGCGAAGUGUUCAAAUCCUUUGACCGUUGUUUCACCAAGUUGUUUUAUUAUGAAAUUUUAGGGGUUACUUAUUCUGGAUGUCAGCACUUGGAUAAAUAUUUGAGAAUAUUUUUUGCAGUAAGUGACAUCAUUUUAUGUGGAUGAACAGAAGAUUUUAAUUUUGAUGAAGUCUAAUGGAUAUAUGUGAUGUCAGUGUAUUUUGAAUGCAUACAUAUGUAUAUUUAAUGCAUUCUUUUAUGAUGAUUGUGCACUUCAUAUGAAAUGUGGCAACCAUGCCUUGCCAUCCCGGAGGCCUCUGCUUCUCUGAUCUGUGGGUGUCAUAGGCACUUCGCUUACACACACCUUACGGCACGGUUUCUUUUGCUCUAAGCCUGCACGUGUGUUUUAAAGGUAAUUUCUUCCGUUAGAGAAGUCGCGUAUGCUCACCCUGCUAUUUGCCAUUUCUGGAGCUCUUUAUCUCCUUCUUCAUAUCUGCAUUUCCCUCUGGAAUCAUUUCCAUUCAGCCUGAAGAACUCUUCUGCCUGGGACUCCACCUUCUUUUCUAGCAGCUGGGCUCAUUGGGAGCUCUGUCCUCUGGUGGGUCUGGCCAGGGGACGCUGGGUUUUCUCUUAGGGUUUCAGUUGGCCCGUGUGGUGCCAAUGUCAACGUGUCUGUAGGCCAGAGCCAGCAAUGAGCACCCCCUCGGUCUGGCCCUGAGCUCCAAGGCCCCACUCCCAUGGGAUCUUGCUGCCAGGACCCCACUCUCUGCAUCUUGUCCAGAGUGUCGAGGAGGGCAGGGUCCAGUGGGUUCUCUCGGCCCUCCCAGGGCUGAGUCUGUGCUCUGACCUUUCCUGGGAGGCACUCAGGGCCAACAGAGCAACAAGGGGCCUUUCCCUGUGGCUCCCUCCCCUCUGGAGAAAAUGGGUCAGACCUGGGUUUCUCCAUAGUCACUGUCCCUAAAAUGAAGCCGGGCUGCCAGAGGCGGUUGCAUCUCCCGGCACCAAGACCCCAGAGUCCCUGUGAGAAAGAGGACCAACGACGAUGGAAGCCUUUCUCUAAUGUGCGCACAGCCAGGCCGCUCCUCUGAAGGCACUGAGCCGCCUCUAAUCACAGCGCCACACUGGCCACAGGUCGCUGGGUAUAGGAUGAACCCAGCUGUGAAGAGGAUGCAUUUCCUGGGAGGUUUCUGUGAAGUUACUGAACUGCCAAAAGGUAAGCAGUUUUAAUUGAUUUGUGAGUCUUCAAUUAAGCACAGCAGAAUGCUAAUUAAAUAUUCUCUGUUCUUUAAAUAGAGAAUGCUUUAAAUAAUUCAGCACAAUCUUUGCAUAUAUCACACCAUUCAGCUGAGGUGCCUGUCAGCAGUCAAGUGAUUGAGAGCACAAACUGUCCCAAAGACACAGCCCCCUUCCCUCUGGGGACGCGCACAGCCUGCAGAACAGAUGUCACCUGAUGCAGUGUUGUGGUUUAAAAACUCAUUAUGGGAAGCAUGAGGCUGGACGCAGGGGACCCUGGAGGCGAUGCAGGGGCUUUGGCAGCCUGGAAGCUGUUGGAGGAGGGGCCCUUGGUGGAAGUGGGGACAGUUUGAGCCUCCGGCCUCCAAUUCCCUCCCGCUGGCUUCUGGGCCGCACCUCCAGGAAUCCAGCUAGACCCACAGGGCUGUGACUCCAGACUUUAUUAAAUGUUUCCUCUAAUGGUUCUGGCCAUUCUGCUGGGCCAUUAAAGGCCACCCCAGGGCCACAGAUAUGAGCGUGGUGUCUGUAUGUGGUCCUUUCAUGGAGGGCAGGAAGCAUCAUCAUUACUUUUUUAACGGUUUUCAAUUUGUGUUGACAAAGAGCCUUAGUGAAUCUGUUGGAAGAAGAGUGACUUGAAAAUGAACCUGACUCCCUGUAUCUUAGUAGUCCAUAUUCUCUGAUACAGUUAACGUUUUCCUUCCAACCUCUUCACUGUUCAAGCAAAGUGGUAUUUUAACUAUUCACUGUGUGACACUUUAAUAGGAGUUUUGAUUAGCAAUUUCAGGAUGUGGAAUUGCUACACUGCACCAGGUUCCUGCAGGAGCAGCAGCCUCAGCCCGUGGAUGGGACGUGAGAUCUUGGUGUUUCUCCUGGAGGAAACGCUGUGCUGCUGUGUUGAUGACGGGGCGUGUGUGGGGAUGAUGACGGGUGAUGGAGUGUGGGGAUGAUGAUGGAGUGUGGGGAUGAUGAUGGGUGAUGGAGUGUGGGGAUGAUGAUGGAGUGUGGGGAUGAUGAUGGGUGAUGGAGUGUGGGGAUGAUGACGGGUGAUGAAGUGUGGGGAUGAUGACGGGUGAUGGAGUGUGGGGAUGAUGAUGGAGUGUGGGGAUGAUGAUGGAGUGUGGGGAUGAUGACGGGUGAUGGAGUGUGGGGAUGAUGAUGGAGCGUGGGGAUGAUGACGGGUGACGGAGUGUGGGGAUGAUGACGGGUGAUGGAGUGUGGGGAUGAUGAUGGGUGACUGAGCGUGGGGUUGAUGACAGGGCGUGGGGUUGAUGACGGGGCGUGGGGUUGAUGACGGGGCGUGGGGUUGAUGACAGGGCAUGGGGUUGAUGACGGGGCGUGGGGCUGUUGAUGGGGUUUGGGGUUGAUGACGGGGCGUGGGGCUGAUGACGGGGCGUGUGGCUGAUGACGGGGUUUGGGGUUGAUGACGGGGCAUGGGGUUGAUGAUGGGGCAUGGGGUUGAUGACGGAGUGUGGCGUUGAUGAUGAGGCGUGGGGUUUAUGACAGAGUGCGGGGUCGAUGACGGGGUGUGGGGUUGAUGACGGGGCAUGGGGUUUAUGACAGCUUGUGUCAGACGAAGCCACAUCAACUCAUUCUGAGCACCCCUUUCCUCAAAACAUAAGGAUGAGCAUGACCAAAAUCUCAAGACAUUUUUCCUAAGUCCUUAAGAUGGAUGAACUUCUACAGGUAAGUAGGUAGAUUAAUAAACAGAGGUAAGGAAUGUUGGCAUGAAGAAGCUCCCUAGGCCACUGUGUGGCUGAAGCUCUGACUGGUCAUGCUGGUUAAGGAUGCAUCUGAGCAAGAUCGGUCGCUGACAGGUAGGUGUGUAGAAAAUAACCUAUAUGUGGUGGUCCAUUUUCAAUUCUAAGUGCCUUCAUAUAGGUUUAAGCAGGCUAUGUGGAAAUAGAGAAAUAAAGAAGCAGAAAUGUACUGAGUCACCACCCUGCCCUCCUUCCUGCUUUCCUUUUCACCCAGCGGCCAGGUGCCUAUCAGUAGGAGCCCCCUCAACUACCCUCUCCUCACCCCAUCAAAGAAUUUAGUUUAGGCUAGCUUGCAACAUAAAUAAUUAUACCUUUUCUUAUCAGCUACGUGCAGCCACCAGGGCCAUAGUCAAAUGUUUGAAGAGUCCUGAGACAGUUGCAAUGCAUGGUGGGCUGCAAUAAAAUGCAGCAGAAAGAUCCUAAAGAGCAUACUUGAAAUCUUAAUCCAAUGACCAAUAGGUGAUGUCCAGGAAGAUUGUAACCCCAUUUACUCAACCAAUGAGGAACUGGGGGAGGGACCUGCACACUAGGGGAUAAAUUGCUUGUUGAAACUCUGCUGGAGGUGGCUGCAUGCCAGCCAGACACCCAAUCUUGCAAGACUGUCAUUGAAAAUCUCUGUUUUGCUGUUCUCCGUGUCUCUGCGUCCAGCCUUUGGGUUUGGACGGGUGAGUUUGCUUCUCACAGGUGUGACUCUGUCUCUAUUUGCAUCAGGUUCAGUUUCUUCCUGGUUGACCUUGUGGGUGUGAAUGUUGUCACAGACCUGCCAGGCCAUCUUUCUGCAAGAAGAUAAAGGAAGACCAGGAGUGCCUGCCGAACUCCUACGGAGGAAGUCUAGGAGAGGAAGGGGACAGGGAGGAAGAUGGUGUCUGCAAACCAGGAAGCAGCCUUGCCAGACAUAGGAUUGGCCACAACCUAGACCCCAGACUUCCAGCCUCCAGAACUGAAUUUCCCUGCACAGGCUCUCUUGCCUGCCACCAUGUAAGACCUGCCUUGGCUCCUCCUUCACCUUCCGCCAUGAUUGUGAGGCCACCCCAGCCAUGUGGAACUGCUGGUGAUCUCGGUGAUCUCGGCGUGGUGAGAACACAGCUGCACGGGGUCUGUCCUGCUCUGUGGUCCAGGUGUGGUCCAGGUGUGGUCCAGGUGAGCCCGCUCGCCAGCUGCAGACAGGAUGAGAAGCUCAUGAAAGAGGCUUCGGCAGGUGUGGUGGCCACAACGUUCUCUGACUCUGGGAGCUGAUCCUAGUCUUGUAGCCGCUGGGCACAGACCCUCGGGCUGGAUGUGAAGACCCCAGUCUUCUGCCGCCUUGUUCCAUGGUCCCCCCCGCCGAGUCCCAGAUGGUGGAUCUUCUUGUGUGCUACCAGAGGGUGGCAGGAGGGGGCGCUGAGCCUGCCCCCAGCCCC